rnacentral:rRNA from 1 species
GAGAGUGUAAAGGCAUAAGGGAGCCUGACUGCGAGGCCGACGGGCCGAGCAGGUACGAAAGUAGGACUUAGUGAUCCGGUGGUAAGAAAGUGGGAUUGCCAUCGCUCAACGGAUAAAAGCUACCCUGGGGAUAACAGGCUGAUCACUCCCAAGAGUUCACAUCGACGGAGUGGUUUGGCACCUCGAUGUCGGCUCAUCACAUCCUGGGGCUGUAGCAGGUCCCAAGGGUUGGGCUGUUCGCCCAUUAAAGUGGUACGCGAGCUGGGUUCAGAACGUCGUGAGACAGUUCGGUCCCUAUCCGGCGCGGGCGUAAGAUGUUUGAAAGGAGCUGUCCUUAGUACGAGAGGACCGGGAUGGACAGACCGCUGGUGUAUCUGCUGCACCGCCAGGUGCAUGAGGCAGGGUAGCCAAGUCUGGCAGGGAUAAACGCUGAAGGCAUCUAAGCGUGAAGCCCCCCUUAAGAUGAGACAUCACAAAGACCCCUUAGAGAGUAUGAGGUAGAUAGGCCUGAGGUGUAAGUACCGUGAGGUAUUCAGCUGACAGGUACUAAUAGGUC